rnacentral:rRNA from 1 species
UACGGGGGGAGCAAGCGUUGUUCGGAUUUACUGGGCGUAAAGGGCGCGUAGGCGGCAAUUCAAGUCAGCUGUGAAAUCUCCGGCUUAACUCGGAACGGUCAGCUGAUACUGCUUUGCUAGAGUGCAGAAGGGGCAAUCGGAAUUCUUGGUGUAGCGGUGAAAUGCGUAGAUAUCAAGAGGAACACCUGAGGUGAAGACGGGUUGCUGGGCUGACACUGACGCUGAGGCGCGAAAGCUAGGGUAGCAAACGGG